rnacentral:rRNA from 1 species
UAGGGAAUCUUCCACAAUGGACACAAGUCUGAUGGAGCAACGCCGCGUGAGUGAAGAAGGUCUUCGGAUCGUAAAACUCUGUUGUUAGAGAAGAACAUGCAGGAGAGUAACUGUUCUUGUAUUGACGGUAUCUAACCAGAAAGCCACGGCUAACUACGUGCUAG